rnacentral:rRNA from 1 species
CCCUUAGAUGUUCUGGGCUGCACGCGCGCUACACUGAUGCGUUCAACGAGUACAUUUGCCUUGACCGGAAGGUUUGGGGAAUCUGUGAAUACGCAUCGUGAUGGGGAUAGACCAUUGCAAUUAUUGGUCUUCAACGAGGAAUUCCUAGUAAGCGCAAGUCAUCAGCUUGCGCUGAUUACGUCCCUGCCCUUUGUACACACCGCCCGUCGCUCCUACCGAUUGAGUGAUCCGGUGAGUUGUCAGGAUCCCCCGUUUGCUCACGCGGACGUGGGGCUAAUCUCUGCAAACCUUAUCACUUAGAGGAAGGAGAAGUCGUAACA